rnacentral:rRNA from 1 species
GAGUUUGAUCAUGGCUCAGGAUGAACGCUGGCGGCGUGCCUAAUACAUGCAAGUCGAGCGGUAAGGCCCCUUCGGGGGUACACGAGCGGCGGACGGCUGAGUAACACGUAGGAACGUACCCCAAAGUGAGGAAUAACUGCCCGAAAGGGUGGCUAAUGCCGCAUGUGCUCUAAGGAGUAAAGCUUCGGCGCUUUGGGAACGGCCUGCGUCCGAUUAGCUAGUUGGUGAGGUAAUAGCUCACCAAGGCGACGAUCGGUAGCUGGUCUGAGAGGAUGAUCAGCCAGACUGGGACUGAGACACGGCCCAGACUCCUACGGGAGGCAGCAGUAGGGAAUUUUCCACAAUGGGCGAAAGCCUGAUGGAGCAACGCCGCGUGCAGGAUGAGUGCCUUAGGGUUGUAAACUGCUUUUAUAUGUGACGAAUAUGACGGUAGCAUAUGAAUAAGGAUCGGCUAACUCCGUGCCAGCCGCCGCCGU